CCGAUGACGCCCGGCCGGCCGGGCAGACCCUGCUUGCCCUCCCAAAACGGCCCUCUGAUUCGGGCUUCCGUGCGCGCCGCCCCUCCCCCAGCCGGCCGCUGCUCCCCGGCCGGCCGUCCUGGCGGUGACACAGAGCUGAGGCCGCCGCGCUGGAGGCCGCAGUGAGCAUUGCUCACUCGCAGCAGCGGGCGGAUGAAAAGGCAGUGCAGAUGUAAUUUGUUUUCAAUGGCUGUUUCAAAAGAAUAAUUGUGGUGACAUUGCGGGAUCAAUAUUAUAGAUUUUUGUUUUCAAGUACACUGUAUGUGUGGUGCUAAGGGGAGGCAGGAAAUACAACACUGCAGCCUGAAUACAAUAAAAAUGGAUUGAGGUCUGCGGGUAUGUGUCGGCCGCUGGCCGUGGCGGGUUGGGGACAUCAUCGGCGGGAUUACCGGCCUUGUCCUGGGGGGCCGGUGCUCCCACGGGGAGUGUGGGCACACUUCCUGCAGCUUUCGUCUUUGGCCGCCCGUGGGAAGUAGCCGGAGGUGAGCUUCCGUCGCCAGAGCCUCGGCCGAGCUGCUGACAAGUGGAGGUGGCUUGGGGUGGCUUGGGGUGGAGAUCGGGACACUUCCUCCAGGAAACGACGGCAGCCCUGGUCCACACGGGCGGCGGCACGCCCCUGGCAGCUGCGUGUUCCUGCAGCUCUUCCCGUGCCCUCUUACAGCACCCGCCUCCCCACGCGUGUCUGGGGUCCCCGGUUGGUGCAGGGACAUCGGCUGGGGUGGGAGCAAGUCCCCAAGCUCCCCUCGGAACGCCCCGGGAUGGGGACGGCGUGCUCUUCGGAGAAGCACUCAGCGCAGGGGGAGCUCCUCUGACCGCGAAGACUGUCGCUUUAACGCCCCGGAAACCCCCAGGCCGGGGAACCAAGACCCCCUGAGUGAAAGGCGGGUUUCAGACUCGGGGCGACUGGACAGAAAUGCAGGCCCCAGGGUGAAAAUCGUAUGAACAAAGAGUUGGUAAUAAGGCUGAAUAAAUGCGAUGAGGUGUGGGAGAGAGCAGGGCAGACGCUUUCCUCCCCUGUCCUUUGUAAUUAGCCCUUGAAAAAAACGGGUGCCCUGGCAAAAUACCCUUCUGGUUGCUGGGUUCAAAUUGUAAAUGAAAAUAAUGUGUUUGAGGGGGGUGGUGAGAGAAGCGUAAAGUCGAGAGCAGGAUUUCUACCUGGUCCCCAGGAGGUCGCCCAGAAUGAGAGAGCUGCAGCACCCUGUCCAAUCCACUCAUUUGACAGGCGGGGAAACUGAGGCAGAGCUGUUCCUAGGAUCCUGUUCUGUCUCCCAAUGAGGUUGAAGAAACAGCAUAUUCUGACAUCCAACCCAAAGCUCCCCAAACUCGGCGAACUUGGCUCCAGUUUGAGUGCAUUUUGUUUGGAAAUCGCCAUGUCUUUUUUGUUUGUUUGUUUGCUUUUCCUCUCCUCUCCCCUCCCCCCUCUCUCUUUCCCCUCCUCUCUCUCUCUUUCUUAAUUGAGGACAAAUAUAAAACCAGGAGAUCUCACAACAAUCCAGUUCUGGAUUCUUCCGGACGACGAGAGUAUCCAGCAACACGGGACUCCCCUGCGAGGCGCCAUCUAGCUGGCUCGGAGUCCCUCGCUUUGGGCGAGGUCCUUCCCCCCUCACUCACACGCAGCCCAAUACAAAUCCGAGCUUGCGACCGGCCUGCUGUCCUGCUCUGACAUCGACCGACACUCUUGUCCAUUCGGCAGAGAGGCAGGUACGAGGGGCACGCGAUCCUCAGAGCGAGGCCUUCCUUAGUCCCUCUAAGCCCGGAAUGUGGUCGGUGGACGCGAGCUGAUCCGCGCUCGCCGUGCCCGCGAGCCCCCGUGUUAGGGGAGCGUGUGCCCGGGUGACACCCACUGUCCGCGGGGAGUGAAAACCAAAGCGUCUACGAACCUCAACGUAGCCAGAUGUUUAGCGUCCACACUUCCCGAGCAUUUGGUCCGAUCGCCGUUUGCCAAGCCCCUCGCCCGGGGAUUAGCCGAGAGAGAAGGCCUCCUCGCAGGGAGCCCAAGGUCUAACUGGAAAAAAACAUCCCAUGGAUUACGCACGGUGUAAACUCAGAUACUGUUUGCUGGGAUCCUCCUGUUGUACAAGGACCUGUGACAAGUCCCUGGAAACCGGAGAUACCCACAAAUGACAGAGUGAAAAGGGCCGUAAUUCAUGUGUCGGGGGGCAUGAACCUAGGUUAGAGGGAUUAGCAUCUUAGUCACUAAUUUAACAGAUGUUUAUUGUCACCUAUACCUAUUCAUGGGUCCAGCCACCACUUCUUACGUACGGAGUGAAAUCCCAAGCUCGCCGCUGGAAAUCAGUUGUUGGGAAGAAUAUUCACUCACUUCCAUCUUUCAAGGCCGGAACCGCGUGGGGCUGUGGCAUACAUAGCAGGGGUUUGUCUGCAGCUUGUGUUCACUUACUGUGCAGGGCUGAGGGCCAAGGUCUGCCUGUUUCCCGUCCCCAUGCGCUGGCCCCAAGGGUCCCUGUGGUCCCUUGGGUGUCAGCUGAGGGUGCAGGUACUGGUACAUCAGUGGCGGCGUGGGGGUCUGGUCUGCCAGCCCACUUGUGCCCCGUGGGCCUACUCAUGCCAGUGCCAGGUGAGGUCCUUGCAUUUUGCGGUGGGUGAUGUCUGCAUCUACCUGACCUUGUGACUCACUUGCUGGCUCUGACAGAACCCAGGUGAUGAAGGGCAGCUCUCACUGCAUGGUAAGGCAGUUUGUCUACCAGGGCCCUGGAGUAGACACCAUGAGCUGUUGUUUUUGCUUUGUUUAUUUUUACAUGGCGCAUAAUUCCUUCCUACAUAGAUUCUGCAGUUUUUUUUUCCCCCACCUCUGUGACCGCUCUCUCCACUGCGUGAUGAGGGAUUGCCUAGUUCUUGGUUUCCUUGCAGAGCCUUUACCUGACUUGUGUCCCUUCAACGGAAGACACUCUUGUCACUCAGUAAACGGAUAGGAGCAAUACUCUGAAAUGUGGACUAGCUGCCUCCGUAAUCCGCGGGGGCCUCCCCGUCAGAGAGAUUUUUAAAAAUUUCUCAGAAGUGUGAGAUGCAAUGAUUUGUCCUUUCCUUUGGAUGGACUGCCCUGGCAUGUCUUUGACCACUGGACCCUUAAAAACUUCAUUGAUAUGAUGGGUCUCUGAACUUUCUAAGGGAUUGUCUCCCACCCCUGGAGUGCAUGUACCUUAUCAAGGUUGUCCACCACCAUCCUUCAGGGUCUGUCUCAUUUUUGCAGGAAUCAGACUGGUGAAGUAAAUGGCAUAGGAUGGGAGUUACCCCCUUCCAUCCUAUGCAUAUUUUCUGUGUUGGAUGGGUGCAGGAGAGAUUUCAGAGUCUUCCCCUUGGCCUUCUGAACUGUGAUGGCUCUUACAUAAAGCUCUGAGGAACCAAGUUGGAGAGCCACCGAAUUCCAAGUAUGUCCGUUUUGAUGGUAUAUUUUGGGAACUUGGAAAUUAUCAAGUGCCCGAAAUGCAAGAUCCUCAGAGCUGGAUCUGGGCCAAGAUUCCAUUUUUUUUUUUUUACCUGACUUCCAUGUGUGCACACCCCCAGGCCAUUUCUCUAGGAUGCAGAGAGGGUAACGUAAGUUUUGUGGUGGCAGAGGAAGAGUCAUGAGGCCGAAUAGAUGCUAACAAACGUAGCGCUUAUUGAAGGUGUUCCCGGGUGAGGUUCAAGGGUCCCAGAGCAGGGGCCCCAGAAGUUCACGCCGCCCAGGACUGCGAGUUGGCUUGUAUAGGGGGCUAGCUGUUGUUGUCGUCUGUCUCUGGGGGUCAGGGCAGGAUGUUUUGCACCUAGGGCACAUCUUCCAGCUCUGCCUUGGCGGGAGGUCUGGGCCGAGAUGUUCCGUUGGUAACAGGAUACAGUUAGGGCAACUGUUCUGCAAGGUCUUCAGGCUUUACAAUGCUGUGAGGAUAGGGGGAGAGGGAAGGGGACCCAGCCACCAGCCUUACAGGCUUGAAUCUGAAAUUUUAUAGACACGGACACAGCAAAAAGCUGCCUUGACAGGACUUCUGAUGGGCUCCCCGGGGGCCGCGUCACAAACAGUGCCUCGUUUGCAAGCAGGUGCCGGGUGUGAAUUCGGAUUUUUUCCCAUCCAACGCGGGAUGCAAGAGGUGUCCUUCUGAUGACGAGUGGAUACAAGUUGGCUGAGCCGUCAGCUUUGAGUGGCUUCCGAGCCUCGCGAAGGCCAGGGAGUUGGUCGACGUCCUGUCCACACGACCCAUUCGUUCAUUUGCUUCGUCACGGAUAUUUAUGGAACCAGGGCUGCAGGGGAAGGAGCGAGGUUCUUUCCCUCGUGGGGCUUCCAUUCUCAUGCAGGGGCGUGGGGUGAGACUUAAUAAACAAAUAAGCCUAUGUUGCAAUA